GGUCUCCCUCUGCCUCGAGGCUUAGAUGAUGGCUGUUGCUCAUCUUGAUGCUGAGGAUCUUUGUUCAAAGGUGCUUUUGGUUUAGGAGAUCUUUCCAUGCUAGAAAGGUCAAGCUGCUGCUCUGGAUCUUUGUGCCAUUCAAGAAAAGCAGGUGAUUCAACAGAAUGUAACUUGGCUUCCAUUUGUUGAUUAGAGAGAAUCAUAUCAGUAUCAGACUUUAGUUUUCGGGGUCUCCCUCUGCCUCGAGGCUUAGAUGAUGGCUGUUGCUCAUCUUGAUGCUGAGGAUCUUUGUUCACAGGUGCUUUUGGUUUAGGAGAUCUUUCCAUGCUAGAAAGGUCAAGCUGCUGCUCUGGAUCUUUGUGCCAUUCAAGAAAAGCAGGUGAUUCAACAUAAUGUAACUUGGCUUCCAUUUGUUGAUUAGAGAUAAUCAUAUCAGUAUCAGACUUUAGUUUACGGGGUCUCCCUCUGCCUCGAGGCUUAGAUGAUGGCUGUUGCUCAGGAUCUUUGUUCACAGGUGCUUUUGGUUUAGGAGAUCUUUCCAUGCUAGAAAGGUCAAGCUGCUGCUCUGGAUCUUUGUGCCAUUCAAGAAAAGCAGGUGAUUCAACAGAAUGUAAUUUGGCUUUCAUUUGUUGAUUAGAGAGAAUCAUAUCAGUACUAGACUUUAGUUUACGGGGUCUUCCUCUGCCUCGAGGCUUAGAUGAUGGCUGUUGCUCAUCUUGAUGCUGAGGAUCUUUGUUCACAG
rnacentral:lncRNA from 1 species